ensembl:lncRNA
AGAAGCAGAGAGCUGGCAGCAUGAGGACUCACCCUGACAUGGCUGCCUUUGAAGAUGGAAGGAAGAGGCCGUGAGGCAAGGAGUGUGGGAGUGGCCAGAAGCAGAUUCUCCCUUAGACUAGCCUCGCUGAGAUGUUAGUUGCAGGCCUCUGAGACCCGUGACGAUGAAAGUCAGUCCUUGCAGAGUGCACACCACGUGCUAGCCGCAGUCUGAGGAACUCCACAGGUGUCACCUCGUUGCAUCUUUAGAGAAACCAUGAAAGGUGGGGAUGAUUACUGCCCCCGCCAUUUGACAAACGAGGAACAGAAGCCCAGAGAAAGCACCUCACUUUCCCGGGGUCACGGGGCUGGGGAUGGCGGAGCCUGGGUUCCCACCCUUGUGGAUCAUCAGCCUGCCCCCGUUCUCCGUGCAGACAAUGCACGUUUCCUCAAUUUCAGGGAAAGUGCUGUGCAAACAUGGCACCGGCGAGGGUGACCGCAAGUCCCAGUCUGCCCGGGACCAGCGCCAUGUCCUGGAACAGCUGUUAAUGGUGCCUCCAGUCGUCAUCGGCCGGGAUCUGGUUUGGGGGAUGAGUCAUGUCGCCACUCCACAGACCCUUCCUCCCAUGGGGACUGAAGUCUCAGGAGGAAACAACUGUACCAGGAGAGUGUAAGGAAAUUCUCCAGUGGGAAUUGGUUGGUGAUUAUACUGACAGGGGAUCCAAGUUCAUUUUCCAGCCAGGCUUCAGAAAUGAGGAAACUGAGCCAAGCGGUGAGCUCACGAGAUCUUAAAGUCAUAUCCGACUGUGUGGGAAAGAGUUCAAGUAUAUAUUUAUGCAGUAUCCAUUCCCCUCCCCCCAAACAGACAUGAGGCAGAUUUCAACAUCGCUUGUUGAAUUCCUCACCUGUGGCAUCAUUUUUCAACCUCCAGCCAAUCAGUGGCUCCCAAAGCCUCCUUCUCAAAUUCUAGCCUCUGUCCCAAGACCCAGACCUUGGUAUUUGCUCUCAACUUUAUGUCCAGAAGAUUCAACAAAAUCAUCUUCCUCACCCACCCCAACACACUUCUCCAGAUAUCCAUGCUUCUAUUCAG